rnacentral:misc_RNA from 1 species
GAAACAAUCAAUGAGCUUGAGAAACAAUUUAGAGGAACGCUUCCAAGCACACACCAUUACCGAGAUAAAGAGAAGGCAGAUGUAGAAAUACUCGAUAAAGAAGAGGAUGGAGAAGAAGAUGAUUCAACUGAUAGUGAUCUUCAUUCAAUUGAACUAAACAUGGGUGACAAUAGCAAGAGCCAUCAAUGGUCCACUGCUCUACAAAAUGAUCCGAAUAGAUUGUUGGUUUCUGAUAAAAAUAAAGGGAGGAGGUCCAUCGCAGAGAAAGAAAACGUGAACACCAUAUAUAGAGGAAUUUCAAACUUACUUAACAAUGGAGGAACACCAGAAUUCUCUUCUCAAGCUUGGAAGAAGGAUCAUGCGGAUGAGACGGAGAGAUAUAAAAUGAUCAAGAAUCUUUGUGAUCGUAUCAUUUCUGCUUCAAGAAUUACAGCCUCUCAAGGCUUUUCU